rnacentral:sRNA from 1 species
UCUUGCCAAGCCUGAAGCCUCUAUUUAUCCACACACCAGCUAUAGCAAAGGCAGGAGCAGUAGAAGCUUUCCCAAGUCUGUGCCCCACCCAGAAGAUCUUAUCUGUACCCCUGAUUUGAAGGGAUCACGCUUCUCGGGAUGUGAGGGUAAUUCAGUCACCAUGUCCAUCUGACCCUUGAUUUCU